rnacentral:rRNA from 1 species
GAUGAACGCUGGCGGCGUGCCUAAUACAUGCAAGUCGAGCGAACAGAUAAGGAGCUUGCUCCUUUGACGUUAGCGGCGGACGGGUGAGUAACACGUGGGUAACCUACCUAUAAGACUGGAAUAACUCCGGGAAACCGGGGCUAAUGCCGGAUAACAUUUAGAACCGCAUGGUUCUAAAGUGAAAGAUGGUUUUGCUAUCACUUAUAGAUGGACCCGCGCCGUAUUAGCUAGUUGGUAAGGUAACGGCUUACCAAGGCAACGAUACGUAGCCGACCUAAGAGGGUGAUCGGCCACACUGGAACUGAGACACGGUCCAGACUCCUACGGGAGGCAGCAGUAGGGAAUCUUCCGCAAUGGGCGAAAGCCUGACGGAGCAACGCCGCGUGAGUGAUGAAGGUCUUCGGAUCGUAAAACUCUGUUAUUAGGGAAGAACAAAUGUGUAAGUAACUGUGCACGUCUUGACGGUACCUAAUCAGAAAGCCACGGCUAACUACGUG